GAUGAACGCUGGCGGCGUGCCUAAUACAUGCAAGUCGAGCGAACAGACGAGGAGCUUGCUCCUCUGACGUUAGCGGCGGACGGGUGAGUAACACGUGGAUAACCUACCUAUAAGACUGGGAUAACUUCGGGAAACCGGAGCUAAUACCGGAUAAUAUAUUGAACCGCAUGGUUCAAUAGUGAAAGACGGUUUUGCUGUCACUUAUAGAUGGAUCCGCGCCGCAUUAGCUAGUUGGUAAGGUAACGGCUUACCAAGGCAACGAUGCGUAGCCGACCUGAGAGGGUGAUCGGCCACACUGGAACUGAGACACGGUCCAGACUCCUACGGGAGGCAGCAGUAGGGAAUCUUCCGCAAUGGGCGAAAGCCUGACGGAGCAACGCCGCGUGAGUGAUGAAGGUCUUCGGAUCGUGAAACUCUGUUAUUAGGGAAGAACAAAUGUGUAAGUAACUAUGCACGUCUUGACGGUACCUAAUCAGAAAGCCACGGCUAACUACGUA
rnacentral:rRNA from 1 species